AUACGAAGGGCCCGAGCGUUGCGCGGAAUCACUGGGCUUAAAGCGUACGUAGGCGGACAAUCAGGCAUCUUGUGAAAGCCCUCGGCUCAACCGAGGAACUGCUUGGUGAACCGAUUGUCUUGAGACAAGUAGGGGCUGUCGGAACGAUAGGUGGAGCGGUGAAAUGCGUUGAUAUCUAUCGGAACGCCGAAGGUGAAGACAGGCAGCUGGGCUUGUUCUGACGCUGAGGUACGAAAGCGUGGGGAGCGAACGGGAUUAGAUACCCCAGUAGUCC
rnacentral:rRNA from 1 species